rnacentral:misc_RNA from 1 species
UGUCGGCGCACGAAUACCGCGGUGGUGUUCAAGGAAGCAGGUUCACUCGUUGGUGUGCAUCUUGCCUACUUAUCCGUCUUAUCGCUUUCACUUCAUCCUCGCGAAGCGAGUCUUUGCCGAUGUCUACCGUAGACAUGUAUAUUGAUGGGGCUGUCGCCUCCAUGUGCGCCACCAUCAUUUCCAACCCCUUUGAUGUGAUGCGAACACGCAUGCAGCUGCAGGGCGAGCUGUGCAAGCGUGGCGAGUACAAGGUUGUGUACGACAACCUGGGGCAGGGUAUGAUUCGUGUGGCCCGCGAAGAGGGCCUGCGUGCUCUACAAAAGGGCCUCGUAUCGUCUGUGAUGUGGCAGGUGAUGCAGAACGGGAUUCGAGUAGGACUGUACCCUGCUGCGCGUGCCGAGGUGAGCUAUGUGUGUGGGUCGGAUGCCGUCUACAUCUCGGUUAUCGCGGGUGCCUUGUGCGGCCUCGUGGGCAGCUACUUAUCCUCGCCAUUCCAGCUGGUGAAGACGCGCCUGCAAUCGCAGCGCAACACGAUUGUGACGAUGCGUGGCGAUGUGCUCUCGAAGGCGACGACGGGGGAGCAGUACGACUACGCUGGCGUGAAGGAUGCAUUUCACAAGAUCUACAAGACAGGCGGUCUGCGAGCGCUUUGGAAGGGCUCGCACAUCGCGGCGCAGCGCACGCUGGUCGGCUCUGCUGCGCAGCUCACCGCGUACGAUGUGGCAAAGCCUAUAAUUUGUCAGCGGAUGGGAUGGCCGGCCUCUGACAUCCGCGUGCACAUCUGCGCCGCCAUUUUCUCCGCCUCAUGUGUCAUGUGCGUCAUGAACCCGCUGGACGUUGUCAUGACGCGAUCCUUCAAUCACCGCAUCGGUGAGCCCAUGGCCUACUCCACAAACCUCGCCGUAGCGACGUGGAAGAUAUACCGCAUCGAGGGCGUGCGUGGACUGUACAAGGGGUCCAUGGCGCUCUUCUCUCGCUCCGCGCCCCACAACAUUGCGACAUUCGUGAUGCUGGAGUACCUGCGCAAGAUGCGUGAGCGGUACACGAACCGUGCGUACACAUCUGGGUCGUCCGUGGACAAGUCCAUUGGGUUUAACAGGGUCAUUGACAGAAAGAGCGGCAAGAACGCCGCCUAGUGCACUGUGUUGGCCAAUGCUGACCGACGCGGAGUUGCCCUUGCUGUACGCGGGCUGGAUGAGCUGAUUACCAAUCAGCACACCAGGGAAGUUGUGCUUGUGCGGCGGACUUGCAACUCGCUCUGCUUUCACCUCGCCUGCGGCUGCCGCUCUGCCUUCUCGCCUUCCAUGUGCGGGCGAUUGUGCUGUGUACUCGAUGUAAUGGUACUCAACGUGGAGGAGAGGAGAGACGCGUGCGCUGCUUCGCGUCUCGCGCGUGUGUACGGCGGUGGCUGUGAGUGCGGACGGCACGGUGCUCAGCGCACCCAGCUCCUGAACUGGUAUUCUUUGUGUUUUGGAUCCUAGGCAACGCUUGCACCGCGGAGGACACGAAGGGAAAACAUGAAGGAAAGACGUACGAGGAGGCGGCGGCGUUGCUACGCUUCACUGGUGGGGCUGGCGGCUCGAACAGCCCCACCGUGGAGCAAAGGGCCAGCGGCACGGGCUCCAUCCGCCCCUAUACGCAGGCAACAGGAGACCCACGUGGGCACUAGCAAGAUGCGUACCCAUGAACGAGAGGCAGGGGAGGAGAGGCCCGCACCCUUUGGUGUGCUGCCGAGGCUCAUGAAGGCAUGGGCCUCGUUUACGCUAGGCGACGACGGCAGCGGCCUAUGGAAAAGGUGAGGACGGCACAUCCCGACGUUACCUGCGGUGGGUUGCGUUCUUGUCUCGCGUCGCGAGCCUUUGCGCUGACCUUGCCGUCCCUCGUGCAUGCGCGCGCGCUCUCGCCGUAGCGGUGUUUCUUCUUCACCUUGACGACGAUCCCUACUCGGCGCCACAGCGCGAGUAUCUCUCUCUCUCUGUGUAGAGCUUCCCUGUCGUGCACCCGCUUUCUCGCCAACUUUUAUACCCUUGCUUUCUUACUGGUGCUUGUUGUGCCCCUCGCCAACGCGCGUGUGCCCUUACACGCUCGCGCAG